GGUCUCCUCAUCCUGUACCUUGUACGGAAUUGUUUGUCAGUGUAGAUUGGAUGCUCAGCAAAGUAAUCAGCUAUGAGUUGUUCAUGGCCCUCUUCACGAUUUCUCUCUAUGUACUUCCUACUGGGUACAGUGGGUAGAGCUCCGUGGCCGGCAGAUGCAUGCUGAUAACCUGGACCUCAUGGUUUACAAGUUGCCAUGGCUGCUGGAGGACCAUGGCCACAACUUCUCCCCGAGUUCUGCCCCAGUACCCGAACCCUAACCCUCCCUUUUUUCAGGCAGAAGGAGGUCUUCGACAGCGCCGGUUCGAGAUCUUUCUCCCUGGUUGAAUGGAUAUCAAUGGUGAGCUGGUGGUGGUGACGUGGGGCAUGAAGCCAAUGUACUUGGUGGACCUGUGGUCAAGGACCCCCACAGCUGCCAGGAUUUGCUAGCACAGGUCCCAUGCGCAAGUUGUCUUCAAGUACAUGUAAUCAUGAUAGAAGACUAAUUAGGACUUCACUCUACUUUCAGAGUCAUGGUAGCCACAGCUUUUAUUGUCUUUGGCAAUGUCUUCUUAGUUUGUUUCGGCAAUCAGCAAUCUCCUGGUCUUGGGUCCACUCGAUGAAUAACAAUGAUAGAUCUUCCUCCACUAGCAAGUGAGAAUCGGAGGUGAAGAGGAGAGGCACAAAAGGAAAUUGAAAUGGGAAGAAGAUAGUCUGAGCAAGGAGGAAGAGGAAAUCCACGGUGGUGCGGUGCAUCUCCGGCCGACGCUUGCAACGGGAGAAUCACAUCCACAAAGUCAUCCUCCAAGACGGUCUCCAAGCAAUGGCAACAUACACAGCAAAAUUUGUUCGAGAGAUGCGUGAAGUCGAAGCGAGGCAUUGCUCAUUCACGGUGCGCUUGCUGCCAGAGAAAGGCGCGUGGGGGCUAUGGUGCCACAAGCAUGUUUCGACCAUGUUCUUCAAUCAUGAGAGAAUGAUUAAUUAGACUUCAUAUUUAUUCAUUUCCUAACAAGAGCACUUUCUGUGUUUUUUUCCAUAUUGAAACUGUUUUUUACAUUGUUCUCGUGUUAGGUUGCCUAGCCAACAGUUCUUCAUAUGGUUGGACAAUUAUAUGACCGUCAGAGAAACUAAGAGAUUGCAAACUUUGAUCAGAAGAUUGGCGUCCAAAUCAUUCAGAAUGCUUUGAAGACACCAGUGUACACGAUUGCUUUAGAUGCAAGCGUAAAAGGAGCAGUGGUUGUUGGCAAGAUUUUGGAGCAAGAUAACACCGAAAGACUACAAGCAGAGUAUUUUAUUUGGUUGGCGAGGGCUUACUGCCAAUUUUUGCAUUUUGGACAAAGAUCUGAGUAAUGAAAGUCAGGAGAAGAGGAUUUGUAUGAGCAUGGCAACCAUGACCAAAAGGAUCAUUUUGCACACGUAUUUGAUGAAAUGCAGGUACGAGGCUUCUCUUAUUUUCUUUUUGUUCAUAACUUUCUAUGCAUCUUAUCCAUCAUGGUGAUUGUAUGGAGUUUGAGGAAUGGUUAUAUGCAAGGGGGAGGUUUCAUUGUAUGGUCAUUGCUGGAAACAAAAUCACUGCUCUUUGCAUUUUCAUUCAUUAGUCAUUACUUGAGGAUAUGGUGUAUUAGUUUCUUGACCUAUUUUUCUGUCAAGCUGGUUUGGUCGUAUGAUCUUCUGGUACUAACCUUUGUGUUUUCUUUUACAUAUUCUUUACAAGGGGAAUAAAUAUCCAAGUUGUUAAUGUUGUUAUCAGAUUUCUCCAAGAAUGCUAAAACCUAUGUCCACACAGUAUGCAUAUAAUAGAUUGGCAUUUGGAUUUUGGUGCUCUGACUAUGAGGCUUUCUUUGCCUGUCCAUCAAUGAUUCCUUGCAUGAUAAUCUUGGAGAUCGCACCUUAUUUCACUAUGAUACCUUAUUGCAACGGUUGGAGCAGGAGCGGAACAAUACAUGAGCCUCUUUCAGUAAGACUAGAACAAGGCCUCAUUUGGGAUAUGAUGAUGAACCUGCGACCAUGGAAUAUGACAAGGGCUUCAGGAUAAUAACCAAAGUCGGCCUGAGCCUCCCCCCGGUAAAGCUCCUUCUAGCCAGCCAUACGAUGUACAUUUCCCAGAGACUAGCAAUAGAUCCGUGCAGGAUGUCAUUGUGUACCAAUGUUUAUCAAUGAAACUUGGCACAACAGAGUGGCACGAAUCUUAAAGCAGGAUAUCAACAGCGCAAACAUGCACAGGACCUCCCAUGCAUGGGACAAACACAUUUCUCACAUUUCCCAUGCAUCUCGCUAUUUUUGGAUUCAUCCUGAAGGAUGAUACUUAUGAGCACAAUGUUUUACUUUUCUGUUUGGUGCUUAGGUUUCUCCUGCCAGGACUGAGAAUGCGUGAAAGUUUUUUUUAUUAACAUUACAAUUGUAGUUUCAGUGUUAUAGAAGACUGAAUUUGUCGAGUGCUAUUUGGUGUUUCUCAACCUGAAGGUUUCCAGUAAUGUUUUUACUUCAGGUUACAUAGUUGGUCCAAUUCAUCAUCUAAUAAGCUCUUAAAUUCUAACACAAGUAACACUUUAUUACAGUACUUAUGUUUUCCCGUGUCACAUGAUCCGCUGGUUGAUCAUUUUUUUCAAUUUAUGUACCGAUGGCACAGUUCACUACUAUUUUGAAUGCUUCAUCAGAGACAUUCGCUCUCGCAUGUGAGAGGGAUUGUCUGUAGAUUGGAGAGCAUAUCAGACAAGAAUAGCUAUGAUUUUUUUUGUUUGUACCUAUGUGGUAUGUAGUAUCAGCAAGUACAGCCUUAGUUGCUUUUACCAGAUAUAAUUGGUACCAUUGUCAUGUAUCUAGAGAAGACUAUAGUUCUUACAUGUUGGUGCCUCGCUAAAUAAAAAGCCUGAGCUACUUUUUCUUCAGAACUGAAUCAUCAUUGUGUAUUUUUUAAUUUUCUAAAUGGCUUCUCAGCUCAGUUUACUUGUCAUUGCCUUUUUCUAGGACCGAUACAACAUAGUAUAUGCAAAUUGGUGCUGAACUGGCAAUGGAGAUUCAAGACAUAGCCGACCCUAGGUCACCAAGUUCCGUGUCCUCCAAAACAACAAAUUUUGGGUUCUUGCUCAAGUGAGCAAAAAUAACUAAUUAGAUACUUUGUUGUUUUUCACGUCCAAUUCGGAUCUACCUUUGCCCUGCAUGUGUUGUCUACUCCAAAAAAUAUAUUUUUGCUACUUCUUUCCGAUGCUUGGUGCGGCUACUUAUCUUUCCUUACUUAUUUUAGUCCUAUGACUAAUUUUCAUGCAGUCCUCCAAAUACCCGAGUUGAUUCAUCUGCCACUUGAGCAGUAUUUAUCUGUGACCUUAUGAGGGGAAUAUCUGUUGGGUUUGCCGUGGUUCAGUAAAUCUGUUUUUCUUUUUCUGGAUGUUCUCAUUGCCCUGAAUUUAAUGGUAAUCUUCAAAUUGUUUUAUACUGAUCCAUGUUGUGCUUUCUUAAGCCCAAUCAACUCCUAAAUCAAACACCUGUGUUGGCUCAAACUGUACAGGAUGAUAUCAUACAUCUUCUAUUCUAACAAUAAAUUUGGAGCUGCUAUGGUAAUUGUGAAAAUUGAUGUUGGUGGUAAUAUCACGAGAUAACAAGUAUUCUUCUGACCCAUCAAAGUAUGUGGACUUGUACACCAUGGUCCAAGACGUUCAAAAUAAAACUGCAAAAGGUUCAUCGAGCUGCACAAAUGGACUUCUAUGGCUCACUAGGUGCUUCACUUUCUCCUGCAUAAUUUGUCACGUUCAAUUCCAGCUUAAUUAGCAUCCUGGAUAUUGGAGUUGUACUUAAUCAUUUUUUUAUAUAUUGGGGCUAUGGACUUCCUUGUUGAACUAUUCUGUAAUCUGUGCUUGACCAUCCAGACUGGACUAUGAGUCAAGCAUGUACUGAUUUAUACACAAAAACUCUGAAGAAAUGGCAUGGCUGGCUCGCCACGUCUGUCUUUUGUGCUAA